AGAAAAAAAGGUGGAAAGUAACUUACUUAAACCCUUUAACUUUCUAUGCCUUUUUUUGUGUUUUAGAUAUUAUAAUAUCUAAAUAUAUUAUAUUAUAAUAUACAAUAUUAUAAGCGAAUAGAGUACGUUGUUCUUACGCCUGACCUAUGCCUUCACACAUCUCGGAGGUGAAUGGAGUUCCUGGGACUUUUUGGCUCUGACAUGCACAGUGAAGAGUCCGACGUCAUGUAAAAAGGCUGAAUUCAAUUGAAUUUGCUACAGGAUGACUCCAAUCAAUUUCUAGCGACUAAAUUUAGUGUCAAUACUCGGAAUACUUAAUGAGAUCAGAUCAUUUUAUAUUUUCAAUAAAUUGGCACAAACGUCUACAAACGUGUUUUCGCUUUUUUAUUAUGGGGUUUUGUGCGUAGAUAGCUGACAUACAUAUACAUGUAUGUAUAUAUGUGUGUGUGUGUGUGUGUGGUUUAUAUAUAGCCUAAAUAAAUAUGAAUACCAAAACUCAAGCAAAACAGACUCACUAUCUCUCCCCGUUAUACCAAUCAGUACUGGAUCCUUCAGAUAAGAAUUCACCGACGAAAACGUCACAAUGUCAAAAUGCGGCGUGUGGAGAGGAAUUUAGUAGACUGAUGUAUCGGUUACGCACGGAAUGUAGUUUAAAACAAUUGACAAGGAACCGAAAACGUUUUGUCUAGAACGAUCUCAAUUAGAUGCUUCCCCUACCCAUGGUAUUUUCGAGUAUUUUUGUUUAAACAGUUUAUCGUGGCCUAUUCCUAACGUGUUUGUGUAACUAAACAAAAGCGGAGAUUGCUUUUGCCCAGACUGAGGCCGAAUGGGAGUAACCGAAUAGGAGUAGCCUAACCUAUUCGGCCUCAGUCUGUCGGUCCAAAGAGGGGCGUUGCCCCGUGCAACAGAGAACACCUGAGCCAAGCCUAGUUCUCUUUCCGAGGUGCCCCUUAAGUUGCAAACGCCAAAACGGAAAUUGCGGUGAGCAAUUUCAAAACAUUUGCCCUGAACCACCACGUCCUGUGAGAAACGGUUGCACACGCUAACAGGGCUAGACAACCGCUUUGACAGCUCACCUGUAACUCCGGGUAAAUUCCACCAGACUUGCUGAAUCCAAGCCGAAUCCUUUCUUGGGGCUAGUUGGUGCUGGCAGAACCGUGUCAGUAGUGACUGAAUGGAGAACACCCACUAGCCACUCGGACGUAGAUUUGCCAUCCUGACGCUAGUAAAGGUUAUUGCUCAAUAGGUCUGUACACAGUGGGUUCUACGGAGGACCGUACCAUUACGUUGAAGCGGGGGUAGGUGGAGCGCUGACACGACCAGGCGAGUAACAACAGGCGAGCAUACGCGCGCACACCAAGGGUCAAUUGCUUUACUUCACUGGAUUGUUAAUGAUUGUUAAAGGCGGAGGUCAUACACCUAUCCAGAGCAACGUGCAGUGACCGCAUACUUCUUAUGAUGUGGGACUAUACAACUCAUCCACAACAGCAGGCCUGCAGGUGGCCCGUCCCAGGGGUUUCGCUCCACACCUGGCUUCUAAGGUGCUCUGCCUUACCUUUGCCCCCUGGGCACCCGUUGGCCGCGGCGCCAGCUGUUUUACCCGGUGAUUACAUGGAGUCAGCCAGAGUUGGACCGUGAUCCGGCCCAGCACCGUGUCCCAGACUGAACCCCUCAUCCAGUGGAUGGAGCUGUGAGCAGGAGGCCGUGACCUUGUCCGUGCGCCUGAGGCGAGGUAGAACACUCUGACGGAAUAGAUCCUUCCUAGGUUUCCCCUGUAGAACCCGAACAGAACCAAACGACACAGAACCAUUGAAGAUAAAAUGGGUUACAUCUAUGUACAGUAGAACCAUGUUCUACGUUCUGUUUUCUAAAUACUGUCGUGCCAUAUAUGUAUGUAGAUGCGGUGAAGAGGUUAAUAAAACCCACCCAAACAGGAGACAUGUCUUGGCAACACUUCUUAUUGUCCCCCAGCAGAAUGAACCCAUAUUUUGGUUAUCUUUGUGUGUAUUUCAUGCUUUGAUUAGGUAAAAACAGAAUGUGAUGAUGCAAAUGUAUGUUCAUUUCAGCAUUCCCAGUUAACUGCCUUAUAGCAAGAUGCUACCGCUGUAGAACCACUGUUGUCUGUAACCAGCUAUGCUAGAUGCUGAUACAAUUGGACACUUUUUAUAAACCAGGAAAGGACCAUUUCUAGCUAUUGUGCAGAGAAAACAGUAGGAACUACAUUUUAGCUUGAUAAAUGAAUAUGAACUUUG